rnacentral:rRNA from 1 species
AACGAACGCUGGCGGCAUGCCUAACACAUGCAAGUCGAACGGGAUCCUGGCUUCGGUCAGGUGAGAGUGGCGGACGGGUGAGUAACGCGUGGGAACCUGCCCAGUGGUGGGGGAUAACUGCGGGAAACUGCAGCUAAUACCGCAUGAGCCCGAGAGGGGAAAGAUUUAUCGCCAUUGGAGGGGCCCGCGUUCGAUUAGGUAGUUGGUGAGGUAACGGCUCACCAAGCCGACGAUCGAUAGCUGGUCUGAGAGGAUGAUCAGCCACACUGGGACUGAGAUACGGCCCAGACUCCUACGGGAGGCAGCAGUGGGGAAUAUUGGACAAUGGGGGGCAACCCUGAUCCAGCAAUGCCGCGUGAGUGAUGAAGGCCUUCGGGUUGUAAAGCUCUUUGGUCGGGGACGAUGAUGACGGUACCGCCAGAAUAAGCCCCGGCUAACUUCGUGCCAGCAGCCGCGGUAAU